rnacentral:rRNA from 1 species
GAUGAACGCUGGCGGCGUGCUUAACACAUGCAAGUCGAACGGUGAAGCCAAGCUUGCUUGGUGGAUCAGUGGCGAACGGGUGAGUAACACGUGAGCAACCUGCCCUGGACUCUGGGAUAAGCGCUGGAAACGGCGUCUAAUACUGGAUAUGAGCCUCUAUCGCAUGGUGGGGGUUGGAAAGAUUUUUUGGUCUGGGAUGGGCUCGCGGCCUAUCAGCUUGUUGGUGAGGUAAUGGCUCACCAAGGCGUCGACGGGUAGCCGGCCUGAGAGGGUGACCGGCCACACUGGGACUGAGACACGGCCCAGACUCCUACGGGAGGCAGCAGUGGGGAAUAUUGCACAAUGGGCGAAAGCCUGAUGCAGCAACGCCGCGUGAGGGAUGACGGCCUUCGGGUUGUAAACCUCUUUUAGCAGGGAAGAAGCGAAAGUGACGGUACCUGCAGAAAAAGCGCCGGCUAACUACGUGCCAGCAGCCGCGGUAAUACGUAGGGCGCAAGCGUUAUCCGGAAUUAUUGGGCGUAAAGAGCUCGUAGGCGGUUUGUCGCGUCUGCUGUGAAAUCCCGAGGCUCAACCUCGGGCCUGCAGUGGGUACGGGCAGACUAGAGUGCGGUAGGGGAGAUUGGAAUUCCUGGUGUAGCGGUGGAAUGCGCAGAUAUCAGGAGGAACACCGAUGGCGAAGGCAGAUCUCUGGGCCGUAACUGACGCUGAGGAGCGAAAGGGUGGGGAGCAAACAGGCUUAGAUACCCUGGUAGUCCACCCCGUAAACGUUGGGAACUAGUUGUGGGGACCAUUCCACGGUUUCCGUGACGCAGCUAACGCAUUAAGUUCCCCGCCUGGGGAGUACGGCCGCAAGGCUAAAACUCGAAGGAAUUGACGGGGACCCGCACAAGCGGCGGAGCAUGCGGAUUAAUUCGAUGCAACGCGAAGAACCUUACCAAGGCUUGACAUAUACGAGAACGGGCCAGAAAUGGUCAACUCUUUGGACACUCGUAAACAGGUGGUGCAUGGUUGUCGUCAGCUCGUGUCGUGAGAUGUUGGGUUAAGUCCCGCAACGAGCGCAACCCUCGUUCUAUGUUGCCAGCACGUAAUGGUGGGAACUC